UACGUAGGUCCCGAGCGUUAUCCGGAUUUAUUGGGCGUAAAGCGAGCGCAGGCGGUUAGAUAAGUCUGAAGUUAAAGGCUGUGGCUUAACCAUAGUACGCUUUGGAAACUGUUUAACUUGAGUGCAAGAGGGGAGAGUGGAAUUCCAUGUGUAGCGGUGAAAUGCGCAGAGAUAUGGAGGAACACCAGUGGCGAAGGCGACUUUCUGGUCUGUGAUUGACGCUGAGGCUCGAAAGCGUGGGUAGCAAACAGG
rnacentral:rRNA from 1 species